GAUUUAGUGUGUGGUGGUUAUCACAAUCGCUUUACAUGCGAAAGAUCCUCGGUUCGACCCCGGGCAGAACCA
rnacentral:tRNA from 1 species